rnacentral:rRNA from 1 species
CAGCCCCUCGAGUGGUGGGGAUGAUUAUUUGGCCUAAAGCGUCCGUAGCCGGCCGAGCAAGUCUUCCGUUAAAUCCAGCGUCUCAAGCGUUGGACCGCGGGAGAUACUACACGGCUAGAGAGUGGGAGAGGUCAGCGGUAUUCUGGGGGUAGGGGCGAAAUCCUUUGAUCCCCGGAGGACCACCAGUGGCGAAGACUGCUGACUAGAACACGUCUGACGGUCAGGGACGAAAGCUGGGGUAGCGAACCGGAUUAGAUACCCGAGUAGUC